rnacentral:misc_RNA from 1 species
CCUUGACUAAGGGUUAAAUUGACAAAAAUAGACAAAGGGACUAAAUAGUUAAAGAAAAAUAAUGUGAUGGACCAAAUCAUGUAUUUUUGAAAAUAAAUAAACUACGGAAACGAUCUAAUACUGUGAUUGAUUGCUGAGACUAUAAGAAAAGGGACUUAAAGUUCUUCAGGUAAAGUUGACGUCCCUGGUAAGAUUCUAAAGUACCUUUUUCUUUUUUUGAGAACUUACCAGCAUGUGCCAUGAGAAUAUAGCACAGAUACAAAAUAAAGAAGUAGAUUAGAAAAAGAUUAACAUUAAAUUAAAUGGACCAAAGAUUUGACAUUAAAACUCGCAUGCAUGGCAUUAAUGCACAUCAAAUUGCUAGAAUCAAUAAUUAAUCUUUCUAAUUAACAAAUCCCAACUGCCAUCUUGUGGCAGAUUCAACAACCAAGUCAACCAUUUAACACCUUUACUUGCUUCCUAAAAUAAAUAUGAGUUGAAAAUCUCCUCUCUUAAUAUAUCAAGAAUAACAGAAAUGGGUGUAUUUCUCAAUAAGAAUAUAGAUCAUUAACUAAUACAAUGAAGUUUUCUGACAAAUGAAAUUAAGAAAUAGAAUUAUUAGAUUUUCCAGAACAAACAAAAUCUAGCUAAAACUUCUGCAAUUUGCAUGAUCAGAGUCAUACUCGUACCUAUUUCCAGUAUGUUAUCCAUCAAAAACCAGACAAACACAUAAUUGAUACCUGUGAACCAUUAACCACAUCAUUGGAACAAAGAAAUCAACUUGAAAUCAGCCUCUCCAGAACAUCAAAUUUCUCAAAUGCCUUCAUGAUAUAUCAGCAAGUUAACAAAAUUCAGGUUUACCAAGGAAAAGGCACGCACACAAGUUUUGGCAAUAACAAAUAAAACCACAAUCACAUAAUCAAAAUUGACACUAAAGAAAUUAACAUAGUAUAUAUCAGCUUCCCCAAAACAAAAAUUUCAGAAAUUCAAUAAAAAAAAAAAUAUUCAAUUUCUUCUAUACAUACAAUACAUACAACUAUCAUAUCAACAUCUUAUGCAACUCCGGUAAAACAAAGGAAAGACCAACACAAAAAAUAACAAUAACAAUCAAAACCAUGUAAACCCCGCAUUUUAACGUUAUUCAAACUCACAAGUCAGACAAAAGAAACUUGAAUCGGUGUCGGUUUCAUCCACACAGCAAAUUCAAUAGAGAACCACAAAAACUUAUACAAAAAGCUUUAACUUACUUGAUGUUAACCCCUCCAUUGAAGUUGUAGAUUGAGACAUUCCUCUGGACCCAAUCCUUGGCACGAUUAUAAUCAUUCAUGGCAGCGAGUUGGUCAUUGGGUAUCGCCACCAUGACUUCGAUGCCAGUUCCAGCAAGUGCACUCAUAGUGUUUCGGUCUGCGUCAAAAAGCUUCACUUUUUGGAUCCCAUUGUCCUUCAACAUUUGCACCACUGCCUUUGGUGGUAAUUUGUGAGUAGCCUGGGUUCCCCAAUUAACCCCUAGACCAUAAACACAAGUUCCCAAUAGGCCUAAAAGCAAAACCCAUUUGAGAAACCAAGAAUUACCCAUUCUAGUGGAGACCUCUAGGAAUUGAGGGAAAAUGGGAUUGGGCAAAAGCGAUGAUAAAGUAGUCAAAUGGAUUAUUUAUUGAUAAAACUUUUAUUGCCUCUUUUCUGUAUAAGGGGUGAGACUUGAGGGUUGUGGCAGAGAGGUUUAUGAGAAAGGAAGGGAAAGCAACGACUUUUGGUAGGUGGGUACGCGGAAACAGCGAAAAAUACGCGAUGUAAUCCCAAGGAAUUUAGAUUUUUUAGAUCAAGAUGUGUGUUUUUGUGAGUGAGACUGUGAGAGAAAGCACAAUAAUCUCAAUGGACAUCCAAAAAAGGAAAAAUUAUAUUUAAAAAAAAAAAAAGCCAAAGAGAGAGUUGUAUGGAGAACCUACAAGGGCCACAACCAAGAAACAGCUUUGCGAGAGAGAGAAAGUAAUCAAGGAAAAAUCAUUAAUAUAGAAACAGCAGCAGAACAGAACCGAUCGAGGUAAAAACGAAAAACCGAUAGAAACUAAACAAUUUUUUUUUUUUAAUUGAAUGCUAAAAACGGUGGAAGCAAUCGAUUUUGUAAGAUGGGUUUUGAAUUAAACUUGAACAAUCAGAAAAAGAUAUGAAUUUGAAAUAACAGGGGAUUUAUGUACAGCCGGACAAGGAAAAGAACAGAGUAGUGGUCAUCACAAGCCCACAAAAGAAGACCAAAACUGCGUGUUUUCUAUGUGGUUUUAAUUAAAAGAGAAAAGAAAAAUUUUUCAAAAUCAAGUGACGAUUGAAACAAAUACAAAUGGACAACAAAGACAGAAUUUUUGACAGUGAAAAAGGCAAAAACAGGCAGAGAGAGCGUGAGGCAAUGAGGUAACGACAACAAAAUCACCAAGAAAAUUGAUGCAAGAAAGAGAAAAGAAUCAAAAUUGUAAGAUGGGUUUCUGUGUCAAUCAAAGAUUUUUGGAGAACUCUUAACGGCUAGAAUUUGAGAAAUUUAUAUCUCAAAAGGGAAUAGCUUUGAA